rnacentral:rRNA from 1 species
UACGUAGGGUGCAAGCGUUGUCCGGAAUUAUUGGGCGUAAAGAGCUCGUAGGCGGCUAGUCACGUCGGAUGUGAAAACCCGAGGCUCAACCUCGGGCCUGCAUUCGAUACGGGCUGGCUAGAGUACUGCAGGGGAGACUGGAAUUCCUGGUGUAGCGGUGAAAUGCGCAGAUAUCAGGAGGAACACCGGUGGCGAAGGCGGGUCUCUGGGCAGUAACUGAC